UACGUAGGGUGCAAGCGUUAAUCGGAAUUACUGGGCGUAAAGCGUGCGCAGGCGGUUUUGUAAGUCUGUCGUGAAAUCCCCGGGCUCAACCUGGGAACUGCACUUGUGACUGCAAGGCUGGAGUACGGCAGAGGGGGAUGGAAUUCCGCGUGUAGCAGUGAAAUGCGUAGAUAUGCGGAGGAACACCGAUGGCGAAGGCAAUCCCCUGGGCCUGUACUGACGCUCAUGCACGAAAGCGUGGGGAGCAAACAGG
rnacentral:rRNA from 1 species